UACGUAGGGGGCGAGCGUUGUCCGGAAUUAUUGGGCGUAAAGCGCGCGCAGGCGGUCCUUUAAGUCUGAUGUGAAAUCUUGCGGCUCAACCGCAAGCGGCCAUUGGAAACUGGGGGACUUGAGUGCAGGAGAGGGAAGUGGAAUUCCACGUGUAGCGGUGAAAUGCGUAGAGAUGUGGAGGAACACCAGUGGCGAAGGCGGCUUCCUGGCCUGUAACUGACGCUGAGGCGCGAAAGCGUGGGGAGCAAACAGG
rnacentral:rRNA from 1 species